GCAGUCGUACGCAGUUUCUUCAUCGAGUGCUUGCACUCACCGAAGAAACUGAGUGGCGAACGGGUGAGUAACACGUGGGUAACCUGCCCAAAAGAGGGGGAUAACACUUGGAAACAGGUGCUAAUACCGCAUAACAACAAAAACCGCCUGGUUUUUGUUUAAAAGAUGGUUUCGGCUAUCACUUUUGGAUGGACCCGCGGCGUAUUAGCUAGUUGGUAAGGUAACGGCUUACCAAGGCAGUGAUACGUAGCCGAACUGAGAGGUUGAUCGGCCACAUUGGGACUGAGACACGGCCCAAACUCCUACGGGAGGCAGCAGUAGGGAAUCUUCCACAAUGGACGCAAGUCUGAUGGAGCAACGCCGCGUGAGUGAAGAAGGUUUUCGGAUCGUAAAACUCUGUUGUUAGAGAAGAACGUGUGUGAGAGUAACUGUUCAUGCAGUGACGGUAUCUAACCAGAAAGCCACGGCUAACUACGUGCCAGCAGCCGCGGUAAUACGUAGGUGGCAAGCGUUGUCCGGAUUUAUUGGGCGUAAAGGGAACGCAGGCGGUCUUUUAAGUCUGAUGUGAAAGCCUUCGGCUUAACCGAAGUCGUGCAUUGGAAACUGGGAGACUUGAGUGCAGAAGAGGAGAGUGGAACUCCAUGUGUAGCGG
rnacentral:rRNA from 2 species